rnacentral:rRNA from 1 species
GUAGGGAAUAUUGCACAAUGGGGGAAACCCUGAUGCAGCGACGCCGCGUGAGUGAUGAAGGCCUUAGGGUCGUAAAGCUCUGUUGAAUGGGAAGAAAAAAAUGACGGUUCCAUUCGAGGAAGGACCGGCUAACUUCGUGCCAGCAGCCGCGGUAAUACGAGGGGUCCUAGCGUUGUUCGGAAUCAUUGGGCGUAAAGGGUGUGUAGGUGGCCAUGUAAGUCAGGUGUGAAAGCCCCGGGCUCAACCCGGGAAGUGCACUUGAUACUGCGUGGCUUGAGUACCGAAGAGGGUAGUGGAAUUCCAGGUGUAGUGGUGAAAUACGUAGAUAUCUGGAGGAACACCGGUGGCGAAGGCGGCUACCUGGUCGAGUACUGACACUGAGACACGAAAGCAUGGGGAUCAAACAGGAUUAGAAACCCUAGUAGUCC